rnacentral:sRNA from 1 species
AGACCUGUCUCUACAAAAAAAUUAUGAAAAUUAGCCAGGUGUGCUGGUGUGCACCUGUAGACGCAGCUGCAGACUGAGGCGGGAGGAUCACUUGAGUCCAGGAAGUUGAGGCUGCAGUGAGCUACAAUGGUGCCACUGCACUCCAGUCUGGGUAACAAGACCCUGUCUCAACAACAACGAAAAGUUGGGAGGGAAAGGGAGUAGCUCCAUGAACUGACGCUGGACAUUCAGGCAUAUCCACAUGAGACUCACUGUGCACUUGCUCAGUAGCUAAGAUGUCUGCCCCACAAAAUAGAAGCCUUCAGUUGCUGCUGCUCAAACUCCUGCAUCAAAGACACAAGAGCUUGCCUAAGUGACCACAACAGUUGUAGCCACACAUCACCACUGGUCCUCACUUGGAACUGGCCAAGGUAGGGGAGGGGCCAGCAGCUGUCCAGGCACCUGCAGAGGCUGCUCAGAGCUGGGAGAGGCCUGUGCCACUGCUGUCAGCUACAGAGCCUGAUCUUGAGCAUCCUGUCGCAGAUAGAAAGUUAAUCAGAAAAAUCUGGUUGUGCUCUUGGAUUAGCUGGGCAUUUGGGGUAAGGGAGGGACUGCAGAUUCUGAUUUGUACAGAAAACUAAAAUUUCAGUAUGUUGCAAUAAAAUGAAAAUAUGUCUUA